rnacentral:rRNA from 1 species
GUCAAGUCAUCAUGGCCCUUAUGGCCAGGGCUACACACGUGCUACAAUGGUCGGUACAGAGGGUUGCUAAACCGCGAGGUGGAGCUAAUCCCAGAAAGCCGAUCCCAGUCCGAAUUGGAGUCUGCAACUCGACUCCAUGAAGUCGGAAUCGCUAGUAAUCGCGAAUCAGCAAUGUCGCGGUGAAUACGUUCCCGGGCCUU